rnacentral:tRNA from 1 species
AUUUUUUGGGUGUUUAUGCAUAUAAAAUUUUGAGUUUUAAGGAAUAUUUAAUAGUGUAAAAAGUA